AGCAGUCGCCGCGGUAAUACGAAGGGUGCAAGCGUUACUCGGUAUUACUGGGCGUAAAGCGUGCGUAGGUGGUGGUUUAAGUCCGUUGUGAAAGCCCUGGGCUCAACCUGGGAAUUGCAGUGGAUACUGGGUCACUAGAGUGUGGUAGAGGAUAGUGGAACUUCCGGUGUAGCAGUGAAAUGCGUAGAGAUCGGAAGGAACAUCUGUGGCGAAGGCGACUAUCUGGGCCAACACUGACACUGAGGCACGAAAGCGUGGGGAGCAAACAGGAUUAGAUACCCCAGUAGUCCCUGUCUCUUAUAA
rnacentral:rRNA from 1 species